rnacentral:rRNA from 1 species
UACGUAGGUGGCAAGCGUUGUUCGGAAUUAUUGGGCGUAAAGGGCGCGUAGGCGGCUUGUUAAGUCGGCUGUGAAAGCCCGGGGCUCAACCCCGGAGGGUCAGCCGAUACUGGCAGGCUAGAGUACGGAAGAGGUAGCUGGAAUUCCCGGCGUAGCGGUGAAAUGCGCAGAUAUCGGGAAGAACACCCGUGGCGAAGGCGGUUCUCUGGACAGUUCCUGACACUGAGGCACGAAGGCCAGGGGAGCAAACAGG